CCUACGGGAGGCAGCAGUGGGGGAUAUUGCACAAUGGGGGGAACCCUGAUGCAGCGACGCCGCGUGGGUGAAGGAGUGCUUCGGCAUGUAAAGCUCUAUCGGCAGGGAAGAAGCAAGACGGUACCUGACUAAGAAGCCCCGGCUAACUACGUGCCAGCAGCCGCGGUAAUACGGAGGGGGCGAGCGUUAUCCGGAUUCACUGGGUGUAAAGGGAGCGUAGACGGGCAUGCAAGCCAGGGGUGAAAGCCCGGGGCCCAACCCCGGGACUGCCCUUGAAACUGUGAGGCUAGAGUGCGGGAGGGGCAGGCGGAAUGCCUGGUGUAGCGGUGAAAUGCGUAGAUAUCAGGAGGAACACCGGCGGCGAAGGCGGCCUGCUGGACUGCGACUGACGUUGAGGCUCGAAAGCGUGGGGAGCGAACAGGAUUAGAUACCCCAGUAGUC
rnacentral:rRNA from 1 species